rnacentral:lncRNA from 1 species
CUUGAGAAUACUCCACCUGAUGAGAGAGAGCCAGUAUCACAAAGUUUGGCUAUUCAGGUGCCAAGGAAAUGCAGCUAAAAGUAUGACCCAGGGAUUGUCAGAUUCCAAGAAACAGAAGAGUAGCCGAGAAGUAGGUAACUAGGGCGGAGAGAGGUGAAAAGACUGUCUCUGGCCACUUCAUAAACAGAAGUGAGGUAAUGAGGUACUUAGCUGCCUGUUGUGGUGCUCCUUCUUCUACCUACUUUAUCGCUCAAGGUGAGUAAUUAAUUUCCACUAUAAGCACAAGACAAA